UACGGGGGGAGCAAGCGUUGUUCGGAUUUACUGGGCGUAAAGGGCGCGUAGGCGGUCAGCACAAGUCAGUUGUGAAAUCUCCGGGCUUAACUCGGAAAGGUCAACUGAUACUGUGCGACUAGAGUGCGGAAGGGGCAAUCGGAAUUCUUGGUGUAGCGGUGAAAUGCGUAGAUAUCAAGAGGAACACCUGAGGUGAAGACGGGUUGCUGGGCCGACACUGACGCUGACAGCGCGAAAGCCAGGGGAGCAAACGGG
rnacentral:rRNA from 1 species